rnacentral:rRNA from 1 species
UACAGAGGUCCCAAGCGUUGUUCGGAUUCACUGGGCGUAAAGGGUGCGUAGGCGGUCGGGUAAGUCUGAUGUGAAAGCUCGGAGCUCAACUCCGAAAUGGCAUCGGAUACUAUUCGGCUAGAGGAAUGGAGGGGAGACUGGAAUACUUGGUGUAGCAGUGAAAUGCGUAGAUAUCAAGUGGAACACCAGUGGCGAAGGCGAGUCUCUGGACAUUUCCUGACGCUGAGGCACGAAAGCCAGGGGAGCAAACGGG